CUUUUUCACUGGCCUGAAGACCUGGGGUACGGGGAUCAACAGGAUGGAAGCCAGUACGGGGCUGAACAGAAUGGGGGCCAACAACAUCAGGGCUCCACAACUGAUGAUAAUGUUUUGUAUGGGGCCCCAGACACUGAGGAAAUCAGAAGCUUCACCACCUUGUUGAAUGUUGAUCACUGGUCCUUAGAAAAUCCUGAUCCCAUUCCUAAUGUGGCCCCACAAUGGACUGACCUCCAAACCUUCACCCCCCCGGCUAAUGCUGAGCAUGCAAUGACAUAUGAUGGAAUCCCAGUGUACACCCUAGAGUGUAAUACAGCCUCCAUUUUUGGAGAAGAGAAUGGGAAAAACUAUGUGCCCCCAGUGCAGACAGUGUCCCCAGUGAAGCCCCCAGUCUCACAAAAGGUGAAGAAGCCUCAGGAGAAGAAGGUGGCACAGGGACCAUAUGUCAAAAAGCCCCUCAACGCCUUCAUGCUCUUCCUGAAGGAGAACAGGAAGUCUGCAGAGGAGGAGCUGGGUGUGAGGACGAGCGCUGCAGUCAAUAAACUCCUCG
rnacentral:lncRNA from 1 species